AUGAGCAACUCCUACCAAAGCUGCUGGGAAGUACACACACCGAUCUCUUGUAAUGAUCAGGCCACUUCAUUUUUUCCAAUGCAUUUUGGCAAGCUUUUCCUCAGCAUUGUCCAACAGCUUUUCAUAACAGUAGAAAAGGGGGCUGUAGCUGGUUCAUGUGCAAGGCAUAUUCCUUUCCCUACAGGAUCCCAGUGGAAGAGUUGGUGGAUUGAUAAGGGGAUGGCUGUGAGGAGGCUCUGUCCGCUGCACUGGAAGCAGCAAAGCAGUGUGUUUUAA
rnacentral:lncRNA from 1 species